rnacentral:lncRNA from 1 species
UGAAAUGUGCUAAGAACCCAUAAACAUUGCUUUGAAGCAUUAAAUGGCUUUUUAGUGUUGUUUGGGUUUAUAAUAUGUUAAUAUCCAUUAAUUUGAGUUAUUACAAGUGCUUGAGAUGCAUGAAGACUGUUUAGAAGUGUGGAGAAAGACUUGUUGAAAUUUGGUCCCAUAUGGGCUUAGAACUCAGAAACAUUGCGUUGAACCACUAAAUGGCUUGUCUAGAGUUGAUUGGGGUUAGAAUAUGUUAGAAUACAAUGAAUUUGAUUAAUUACAAAUGCUAGAGAUGCAUGAAGAGUGUUUAGAAGUGUGUAGAAAGACUUGCUGUAAUUUGGUCCGAAAUGGACUAAGAACCCACAAACAUUGCUUUGAAGUAUUAAAUGGCUUGUCUAGUGUUGUUUGGGGUUAGAAU